GGCUGUUGGUCUUAUGUUCUCAUCAUCAUCAGGAUUUUCCGCCGAUCUUCAGUUCUCAUCUGUUUCACCCCAGGAAAAGCAUUCAGGAACUGCACCUUUCAUUUCUCAGUCAACAUAUAGUGAGACAUCGAUCCAAUUACCUCAUUCGGGAGUUCUUCAGUCCACAGCAUCAAGCCAAUAUUUGAAUGAAAACCAUGAACCCUGGUGUAUAGAUCCACUGCCUAAUUUCCUUGAUUAUUCGAUGAAUAACCCUGUCCAGAAUAGUCAGGUAGCUUCUAGCAAUAAACAAAGCGAUUGGCAGGAGUGGGCCGACCUUGUACUCAAUGAUGAAGAUGCUCUACCUUCUGAUUGGAACGAUAUUAUUGCUGAUACAAGUAUUGGCGACUCGGAGCUGAAGAUGCAAUUUCAGGAGGAAAAACAACCUUUGAAUUUCCCAAUGCAGCAAGUCCAAGCAUCACAGCAAAUCCCACCUGUGCCUGUAGAAACUUCAGC
rnacentral:misc_RNA from 1 species